GCAUUAGCACUUGAGUUCUCAAAACACUGUUUAAGUGUCUUGAAUAUUCUAAAAACUAAGGCGAGUCCACUUCCUGG
rnacentral:tRNA from 1 species